rnacentral:rRNA from 2 species
GACGAACCGUACGAACGUUAUUCGGAAUUACUGGGCUUAAAGGGUGCGUAGGCGGCGCGGCAAGUUGGGUGUGAAAUCCCUCGGCUCAACCGAGGAACUGCGCCCAAUACUGCCGUGCUCGAGGGAGACAGAGGUGAGCGGAACUUAGGGUGGAGCGGUGAAAUGCGUUGAUAUCCUAAGGAACACCCGUGGCGAAAGCGGCUCACUGGGUCUCUUCUGACGCUGAGGCACGAAAGCUAGGGUAGCGAACGGG